rnacentral:rRNA from 1 species
GAAACCAACAGGGAUUGCCCUAGUAACGGCGAGUGAAGCGGCAACAGCUCAAAUUUGAAAGCUGGCCUUCUGGUCCGCAUUGUAAUUUGCAGAGGAUGCUUUUGGCGCGGUGCCUUCCGAGUUCCCUGGAACGGGACGCCUUAGAGGGUGAGAGCCCCGUACGGUUGGACACCAAGCCUCUGUAAAGCUCCUUCGACGAGUCGAGUAGUUUGGGAAUGCUGCUCUAAAUGGGAGGUAAAUUUCUUCUAAAGCUAAAUACCGGCCAGAGACCGAUAGCGCACAAGUAGAGUGAUCGAAAGAUGAAAAGCACUUUGAAAAGAGGGUUAAACAGCACGUGAAAUUGUUGAAAGGGAAGCGUUUGCGACCAGACUUUUUCCAGGCGAAUCAUCCGGUGUUCUCACCGGUGCACUUCGCCUGGUUUAGGCCAGCAUCGGUUUCUGUAGGGGGAUAAAAGCCUGGGGAAAGUAGCUCUCUCGGGAGUGUUAUAGCCCCUAGCAUAAUACCCUUACGGGGACCGAGGAUCGCGCUUCUGCAAGGAUGCUGGCGUAAUGGUCGUCAACGACCCGUCUUGAAACACGGACCAAGGAGUCGAACAUUUGUGCGAGUGUUUGGGUGUUAAACCCUCACGCGUAAUGAAAGUGAACGGAGGUGAGAGCCCUUUAGGGUGCAUCAUCGACCGAUCCUGAUGUCUUCGGAUGGAUUUGAGUAAGAGCAUAAAUGUUCGGACCCGAAAGAUGGUGAACUAUGCGUGGAUAGGGUGAAGCCAGAGGAAACUCUGGUGGAGGCUCGCAGCGGUUCUGACGUGCAAAUCGAUCGUCAAAUCUGCGCAUGGGGGCGAAAGACUAAUCGAACCAUCUAGU